GACGAACGCUGGCGGCGUGCCUAAUACAUGCAAGUAGGACGCAGUUGCGAACGGGUGAGUAACGCGUAGGUAACUACCUAUUAGAGGGGGAUAACUAUUGGAAACGAUAGCUAAUACCGCAUACUUGUCGAUGGACCUGCGUUGUAUUAGCUAGUAGGUAGGGUAAAGGCCUAUCUAGGCAACGAAACAUAGCCUACCUGAAAGGGUGGUCGUCCACACUGGGACUUGGGCACGGCCCAGACUCCUACGGGAGGCAGCAGUAGGGAAUCUUCGGCAAUGGGGGGAACCCUGACCAAGCAACGCCGCGGGAGUGAAGAAGGUUUUCGGAUCGUAAAGCUCUGUUGUUAAGGAAGCGGUACUUAACCAGAAAGGGACGGCUAACUACGUGCCAGCAGCCGCGGUAAUAC
rnacentral:rRNA from 1 species